rnacentral:rRNA from 1 species
AUGGGUUGGCAGAAAAUUUGGAGGGAUAGGAUCGAUGCCCACAACAGAUUGAUCAGACAUUAUUUUGCGGAGGAUCCCACAUACCCCGAGUCGUACUUUCAUCGCCGGUUUAGGACCGAAUUGUUCAGGCGCAUUGCAGAGAAACUAGCGAGACAUGACCGGUUUUUUCAGCAAAGGCGGAAUGCCGCCAGAGAGCUCGGGCAUAGCACCUUUCAGAAGGUGACAACCGCUUUGCGUAUGUUGGCAUACGGUAUCCCCGCUGAUCUAGUUGAUGAUCACUUGGCCAUGGGUGAGAGCCAAGCCAUCAUGUGUGUCAAGCGCUUCGCAGUCGGAAUUGUGCAAGUGUUUGGCCAGGAGUAUUUGAGAUCUCCCAAUGCUGAAGACGCUGCAAGGCUAUUGGAGAUGAACAAAGCUCGCGGCUUUCUAGGUAUGCUUGGCUCAAUAGAUUGCAUGCAUUGUGUAGGAGAUAUGCCCUAG